UACGUAGGGGGCAAGCGUUGUCCGGAAUCAUUGGGCGUAAAGAGCGUGUAGGCGGACUUAAAAGGUCUGGUGUGAAAGCCCGGGGCUCAACCCCCGGAGGGUCACUGGAAACCAUAAGUCUUGAAUCUGGAAGAGGAGAGUGGAAUUCCUGGUGUAGCGGUGGAAUGCGCAGAUAUCAGGAGGAACACCAAUGGCGAAGGCAGCUCUCUGGUACAUGAUUGACGCUGAGACGCGAAAGCGUGGGGAGCGAACAGG
rnacentral:rRNA from 1 species